UGGGGGAGUAUUGCACAAUGGGGGGAAACCCGUGAUGCAGCGACGCCGCGUGGGUGAAGAAGCGCCUCGGCGCGUAAAGCCCUGUCAGCAGGGAAGAAAAUGACGGUACCUGAAGAAGAAGCCCCGGCUAACUACGUGCC
rnacentral:rRNA from 1 species